AUUGAACGCUGGCGGAAUGCUUUACACAUGCAAGUCGAACGGCAGCACGGACUUCGGUCUGGUGGCGAGUGGCGAACGGGUGAGUAAUGUAUCGGAACGUGCCCAGUCGUGGGGGAUAACGUAGUGAAAAUUACGCUAAUACCGCAUACGAUCUAUGGAUGAAAGCGGGGGAUCGCAAGACCUCGCGCGAUUGGAGCGGCCGAUAUCAGAUUAGGUAGUUGGUGGGGUAAAGGCCCACCAAGCCAACGAUCUGUAGCUGGUCUGAGAGGACGACCAGCCACACUGGAACUGAGACACGGUCCAGACUCCUACGGGAGGCAGCAGUGGGGAAUUUUGGACAAAGGGCGAAAGCCUGAUCCAGCCAUUCCGCGUGCAGGAUGAAGGCCCUCGGGUUGUAAGCUGCUUUUGUACAGAACGAAAAGGUUUCUACUAAUACUAGGAGCUCAUGACGGUACUGUAAGAAUAAGCACCGGCUAACUACGUGCCAGCAGCCGCAGUAA
rnacentral:rRNA from 1 species